rnacentral:snoRNA from 1 species
UGUUUUGAUGAAAGUACAUUUGAACCCCUUUCCAUCUGAUUACUAAAGGAAA